UGGAGUCAACAUGUCUUUAUAUCCUAAGCU
rnacentral:piRNA from 1 species